AGAUGCCCUGUAUUCCAAAUGGGGCAAUGGCGCAGCGAACGCUGUUCCUGCUGCUGGCGGCCGCCCUGACUAUGAUCGAGACUCGCGCGGGCCCACACUCGAUGCGAUAUUUCGAGACCGCAGUGUUCCGGCCCGGCCUCGGGGAGCCCCGGUUCAUCUCUGUCGGCUACGUGGACAACACGCAGUUCGUGAGCUUCGACAGCGAUGCGGAGAAUCCGAGAUCUGAGCCGCGGGCGCCGUGGAUGGAACAGGAGGGACCGGAGUAUUGGGAGCGGGAAACACAGAUCGCCAAGGACAAUGAGCAGAGUUUCGGAUGGAGCCUGAGGAACCUGAUCCACUACUACAACCAGAGCAAGGGCGGCUUUCACACAUUCCAGCGGUUGUCUGGCUGUGACAUGGGGUUGGACGGGCGCCUCCUCCGCGGGUACCUGCAGUUCGCUUAUGAUGGCCGCGAUUACAUCACCCUGAACGAAGACCUGAAAACGUGGAUGGCGGCGGAUCUGGUAGCGCUGAUCACCCGACGCAAGUGGGAGCAGGCUGGUGCUGCAGAGCUAUACAAGUUCUACCUGGAGGCCGAGUGCGUGGAGUGGCUCCGCAGAUACCUGCAGCUCGGGAAGGAGACGCUGCUGCGCACAGAUCCCCCAAAGGCACAUGUGACCCAUCAUCCCAGACCUGCAGGUGAUGUCACCCUGAGGUGCUGGGCCCUGGGCUUCUACCCUGCUGACAUCACCCUGACCUGGCAGUUGAAUGGGGAGGAGCUGACUCAGGACAUGGAGCUUGUGGAGACCAGGCCUGCAGGGGAUGGAACCUUCUAGAAGUGGGCAGCUGUGGUGGUGCCUCUUGGGAAGGAGCAGAAUUACACAUGCCAUGUGUACCAUGAGGGGCUGCCUGAGCCCCUCACCCUGAGAUGGGAGCCUCCUCCAUCCACCGGCUCCAACAUGGUAAACAUAGCUGUUCUGGUUGUCCUUGGAGCUGUGAUCAUCAUUGAAGCUAUGGUGGCUUUUGUGUUGAAGAGCAGCAGAAAAAUAGCCAUCCUUCCUGGUCCAGCAGGCACUAAGGGAUCAUCUGCAUCCUGACAGCUCCAUGCUGCCCUGAGCUGCAGCUCCUCACUACCACACUGAACAUAAGAAUCUGAAUGUGAACUUGAUUGCUCAAAUCUUUGAGCUGAGGGUUGAUUAGUGGAGUGACAUAACUCAAAGUGCUGAAGCAGAAAUAAAUGGCAACAUGGAGAACCUUCCAGAAA